AAUAAAUUACUUUAAAGUAAAGAAGAGCUUAAGCCCUUUUACAACAUUUGAUCAAAUCAAAUUACAACCAAAAUUAAUCUACACAUUCCCAUGGUUCAAACAAAUUUGAAACGGCCUAUCACAUAGCUCAAUUAUAUUAGGCUUAGGUUCAUAAUCACCCUUUAAUUAAUUAACAUUUUAACUAAUUAAAUUGAAUGCAACAUUUUCAUUUGGUUUUUUGUAUCCAUAAAAUUGAUUUAAAUGGAGCUAAACAAAAUGAAAAUCCAAUUCUCAUUUUAAAGAGACAAAACAAUUUUGUUCUCUACUUAAUUUGGGCCAUCUUGCAAUAACCACAACAUUUGGGCUAUAAAGCAAUUAACCUCAACUUUUGGGCUAUAUUGCAAAAACUUUUUUGGGGUCACUUUGUAAAGACACAAAAGUCCACUACUUCAUGUAAUUACACUAGAACCCAAAAUUUAAUCAAUUCAAAAACUUCAUUAAAGGAGCAAAACAAUUUGUCCUUUAGCGUUUUUGGACCUUAACGUAAAAACGUAAACUUUUGGGCCAAAGUGCAAAUACACAAAAGUAUCAAAACUUUAUGUAAUUGCAUAAAAGACCCAAAAGAACCCUAAUAAUAGGGUGGCCGGUUUUGGAGUGUUAGUCCACAAAAAUUUUGAAAAUUUCAACUAAGUCAUAAAGCCAUGCAAGUGGAAAUAGUUUGGUGUGAACAAAGCCUUGCAAGUGGUGUCUGUGUAAGAGAAGUACUUCUUACACACCCAUCACCAUUUCUAUCACCUUUCAAAAUUUCAAUAAAUGUUUUUGAUAGAUAAGUCACACCCAACAACACAAAACAAAGACUUUAUGAAAUUAAUCAAAACUUUGAAUCAAAACACAAACCUUUUUGUUCUUGGCAAAAAUGUCAAGAACAAUGAAGAACAUUCAUGAAAAACCCAAAAUUUUUCCAUUAACAUUUUUCACCCAAAAACAUUCCAAAACCAUUUAAACUUAAGGGAAAUAACAUCUAACCAAACUAGGGUACAUAGGGGUUCCAAAAGUCACUUGAAAACACUUUUAACAAGUCAAACAAGAACCCAAAAAAUCACCCUUUGUAUUUGGCCGAAAAUUCCCAAAAGCAUGGCACCAAAUUUUAGCUCCAAUAUUCAUGCUCAUAUGAACUACAUCUACGACAUUUGAGAUGGCAAAUUUCCUAGCAAAAUUUACAUUCAAAAACAAGAAUAAAGCUUGUAACAUAUUACAACUUUUAAAUCACAAACUAUGAACUACAAAACCCAAAAGGAUUCACCAACUACUAGGCCUAGGCUCUGAUACCACUUGAAGGAAUAUUUUGUGAAAACAUGUUCAUUUGAAUAACAUCUAUAGCAUGCUAAUAACAAUUAAAAGGCGGAAUCAUGCUUGCAUGCAUUCAAAAUCAAAACAUUAACCAAGAAAUUCAAAGCCUAGUAGAUUGGUGAACCAUUAAUCAACUCAAAACAAAGUGAGUUGA
rnacentral:lncRNA from 1 species